GGAACGAUGGUGUAGUUGGUCAUCUGUCUAACAGAUAGAACCUCCACGUCCUCAGUUCGAAUCUGGGUUGGUCCG